UAUUAAUAUUGUAUCUGUGAAGUAUUUUUUGCAAGAAAAUGGUCUGUUGUUUUUUUAAUAAUAGAUAAACGUACAGGUUCACUUUAAAAUUACUGUGGUAAAAAGUUUGCUGACAAAAACGUUGAGCUAUGAAUGUUUGUGUACAAUAUCAUUGUGAAACAAAAACGUUGUGGGUAGUAUCAUUUUGAGCAAUAUGAUUGUGAGUAAUUUCAUUGCAAGGCAAUAUUAUCGUGUGCAAUUUUGUUGCAAUUUAUAUUAUAUUCGGACGAUAAACUAUUGAAUGAUGAAGAAACAUGCCAGGAUAAAGCCCUUCUAAUCCAUAAUACACCCUGGACUAUAGGUUGUGAAGUUGAACUUUUGGGUUCCGAGGCAAGUAGAAUUUAUCCACCUCCGCUUCCCUGAGCAUCAAGGUACCCUUCUAAUAUCCCAAAAUACACUCCGGUCCACAGGCUAUAAAAGUCAAGUACUGGGCCCCAAGGCAGUUUAAACUCCAAAACCGCCGCGUUUAUAAGCACCAAGGAACCCUUCUAGCUUGCCAUAAUAUGCCCUGUCCCACAGGUUGCGUAGGUAAAUUUCUGGCCCCCGAGCUAAGUUGAAUUUAUCUGCAGUCGUUUCCCUGAGCAUCAAGUUAUCCCAAAAUAUAUCCCAGCCCACAGGUUAUACAGGUGAAAUAAUGGACCCCGAUGCAGUUUAAACUCCAUCACUGCCGCGUUUCUAAGUACCAAGUAACCCUGCUAACAUGCUAUUAUGCACUCCGGCCUAAGUCUUAUAUUGUAAUACUUUGGAUUUAAAAAAUUAAUCGAAGUAUUAUUUUUUAAUAUAAAUAUAAACUGGGCCUGGCCAUAAUGAUUAUAGAUACAUAUACGGCGUUGUUCAUUUCAGGAACAUUUUUAUAUAGUAAAUAUUGCGAAAUAAAUUACGUCGUCAACCCCGAGGCGGUGUUCAAAAUCAAAUUAGAGAAGUCUGGAAGGAGCAACUGAGUCUUUUAUCGGAUUUUGUCUCAACUCUGUAAGCUUAUUGGGAGGGAUGAAUUUACAAAACAGAUUGCAUGGGAUGGCAUUCAAAUACUUCGAUCUAUGGGUCCCCUUGGAGUGGGAUCUUUAAAAAGGAUGUCAUUCUCCGAUCAUUUUUGUUGUCCAAUUUUAUCACAUAGAAGGAUUCACGGGAGUUGGGAUGGAUAUUUUUGGGUGCUCUUUCAUCACUCUGCUGGCUUCAUUGAAUGUAGAAAUUCUUAAAGAACAAAAUAAACUAAAGAUUAUCUCUAUUAUUAAUAUUAAAUGUAUAGACUUUUGGAUUAUUUUCAUUUAGAAUAUGGAUCGGAAACCUGUGAAAGACCUAAAUGGAAUUAUCUUUGAAGAUUUUUUAAUAAUAAUUUAUUAACUUUUGAAAAAUCUUGAUUAUUCGUGGAUGAUAGUAAAAUUAUUGUGCGAAAUGAUGAUUUUCUUUAAUUGACUUAUGUUGAUUUGUUUAAUAGAAGUUACGAAUUAUAGAAUAAAAUAAAUAGACACACUUA
rnacentral:lncRNA from 1 species